CGGGGUGUAGCGCAGCUUGGUAGCGCGCUUCGUUCGGGACGAAGAGGUCGUGGGUUCGAAUCCCGCCACCCCGAC
rnacentral:tRNA from 1 species